CAGAGGCGACCUGGCCACACGUGAUAGCUCAGCGAAGUGGUUGAUGUCGUUACAGUUGCGAAACGGAGGUCCCAAACGAUUCUCACGCAGAGAGGCCAGAAACAGCAAGAGCGAGGGUAGAGACGGAGGGAGUGGUGGUAUUUAACAACGCACCUCUCCACCCCAGCGUGACUCAAGGAACUGUCAUCAUUCCUGGGGCUUGCGGUUCAACUCAAGAAUAAAUUAUUUCGCCUUUUCUUUACUUCUUGUUUCUAUUUUCUGUCAACUGCUAAAAGCAGGGUGACCAGCGCUCUCACAACCUUGCUCACGUCCGGCACCCCCCACGACAACUGUCAUCGUGCUGUCUGUUGCUGGCCGCUCGACCUUUUAGGCCUCUAGGCCUGCGCUCAGGAACUGUGAGUUGUUGUUGUUGUUUGUUUGUUUUUUCCACAUUGUCCGUUUCAUUCGUUUGUCGUUGUUUGCGCAAUCUCAUUUGCACCAUUACCCUAAAUGUAGCAUUUCCAUAAGAUCUGCAUACAUUGUAAAUAAUUGAUUCUCACGUGAAUGCUUUGAUAGAUGUAUCCCGAGAAUAAUAAGUUAUUUCAUUUAAUGAAUCAAUGAAUCAUUGCACGCCUCGUGAACAGUAACACACUUCUUAUUUCCCCGCCCUAUUAUUUUUGUUCCCAACUGCGCUGUCGGACUUCGUGUCGGCCUCAUGUCACGCACGUUCGGAACUUUCGCAGCAAGCAGUGGACCACCCAGGGCGAUGCAGUCCUAUGACAAAUGACACCACGGUGGUGAGAUGUUAAUUACCUCGCCUGGUAUACAGGAGGUCGUGGAUUCGAUCUGGACCCUGACGCU